rnacentral:sRNA from 1 species
UGUGUUUAUUUGAUUGCUUUGGUGGCGAGGCGCGGGGCUCGGGCUCGUCGCGCGCCCCACGGCCGGGGAGCGCAUCCGCCAACCCCGGGUGGAGGUGGGCCCCUCCGAGCGCGCGCGGGCGGCGGGCAGCGGCGGCAGCUGAGACUCCGGGGGAUGUGACAGCCGCCGGGAAGGGGGCGAGACGCAGACCACACGUUGCCCACGUGCGAGGACCGGGCAGGGGCUCAGCCCCUAGGCCGCCCGGUGCGUGGGGCGGCGGGGGCUGGCUUUGAGUCACCCCCCUUGUGCCAGCUUCCCCGGCUCGGCGGAGACUGGCUUGGGGAUGCCCGGCCGCCCGGCCCCCUUCGCGGACGCGGCGUGGGGAGCGAGCUGGAGGAAAGGAUGAAGGGGCGGCCGGCGAGUCCCAGUGAGAGCGGAGGGUGCCAGAGGUAGGGGGCCGAGAAACAAAGUUUCCGGGGCUCCCUCCGGGGCCGCGGUCGGGGCAGCGCGUUUGACCGCCCCCCUCCUCGCGAAGGCAAUGGCUUCCAAACUCCUGCGCGCGGUCAUCCUCGGGCCGCCCGGCUCGGGCAAGGGCACCGUGUGCCAGAGGAUCGCCCAGAACUUUGGCCUCCAGCAUCUCUCCAGCGGCCACUUCUUGCGGGAGAACAUCAAGGCCAACACCGAAGUUGGUGAGAUGGCAAAGCAGUAUAUAGAGAAAAGUCUUUUGGUUCCAGACCAUGUGAUCACACGCCUAAUGAUGUCCGAGUUGGAGAAUAGGCGUGGCCAGCACUGGCUCCUUGAUGGUUUUCCUAGGACAUUAGGACAAGCCGAAGCCCUGGACAAAAUCUGUGAAGUGGAUCUAGUGAUCAGUUUGAAUAUUCCAUUUGAAACACUUAAAGAUCGUCUCAGCCGCCGUUGGAUUCACCCUCCUAGUGGAAGGGUAUAUAACCUGGACUUCAAUCCACCUCAUGUACAUGGUAUUGAUGACGUCACUGGUGAACCAUUAGUCCAGCAGGAGGAUGAUAAACCCGAAGCAGUUGCUGCCAGGCUAAGACAGUACAA